rnacentral:rRNA from 1 species
UACGGGGGGGGCAAGCGUUGUUCGGAAUUACUGGGCGUAAAGGGCUCGUAGGUGGCCAACUAAGUCGGACGUGAAAUCCCUCGGCUUAACCGGGGAACUGCGUCCGAUACUGGUUGGCUUGAGUUUGGGAGAGGGAUGCGGAAUUCCAGGUGUAGCGGUGAAAUGCGUAGAUAUCUGGAGGAACAUCGGUGGCGAAGGCGGCAUCCUGGACCGAUAUUGACGCUGAGGCGCGAAAGCCAGGGGAGCAAACGGG